AUACGGAGGGUGCAAGCGUUAUCCGGAUUUACGGGGUUUAAAGGGUGCGUAGGCGGGAUAGUAAGUCAGUGGUGAAAGCCUACAGCUUAACUGUAGAAUUGCCAUUGAAACUACUAUUCUUGAGUAUAGUUGAGGUGGGCGGAAUGUGGCAUGUAGCGGUGAAAUGCUUAGAUAUGCCACAGAACACCAAUUGCGAAGGCAACUCACUAAACUAUUACUGACGCUGAGGCACGAAAGCGUGGGUAGCGAACAGGAUUAGAAACCCUGGUAGUCC
rnacentral:rRNA from 1 species